rnacentral:rRNA from 1 species
UACGAGGGGGGCGAGCGUUGUUCGGAAUUAUUGGGCGUAAAGGGUGCGUAGGCGGUUUGGUAAGUCUGAUGUGAAAUCUAUGGGCUCAACUCAUAGUCUGCAUCGGAAACUGCCGGGCUUGAGUAUGGGAGAGGUGAGUGGAAUUCCUGGUGUAGCGGUGAAAUGCGUAGAUAUCAGGAGGAACACCUGUGGCGAAAGCGGCUCACUGGACCAUAACUGACGCUGAUGCACGAAAGCCAGGGGAGCAAACAGG